rnacentral:rRNA from 1 species
UCGGGAAUUUUGGGCAAUGGGCGAAAGCCUGACCCAGCAACGCCGCGUGAAGGAUGAAGUAUUUCGGUAUGUAAACUUCGUAAGAAUAGGAAGAAUAAAUGACGGUACUAUUUGUAAGGUCCGGCUAACUACGUGCCAGCAGCCGCGGUAAUACGUAGGGACCAAGCGUUGUUCGGAUUUACUGGGCGUAAAGGGCGCGUAGGCGGCGUGGUAAGUCAUCUGUGAAAUCUCCGAGCUUAACUCGGAACGGUCAGAUGAUACUGCUGUGCUAGAGUACAGAAAGGGCAAUCGGAAUUCUUGGUGUAGCGGUGAAAUGCGUAGAUAUCAAGAGGAACACCUGAGGCGAAGGCGGGUUGCUAGGCUGAUACUGACGCUGAGGCGCGAAAGCUAGGGUAGCAAACGGGAUUAGAUACCCAGGUAGUCCCUGAGCGGGC